UUACCUUUUGUUGCCUCGGCAGAAGUUAUAGGUCUUCUUAUAGCUGCUGCCGGUGGACCAUUAAACUCUUGUUAUUUUAUGUAAUCUGAGCGUCUUAUUUUAAUAAGUCAAAACUUUCAACAACGGAUCUCUUGGUUCUGGCAUCGAUGAAGAACGCAGCGAAAUGCGAUAAGUAAUGUGAAUUGCAGAAUUCAGUGAAUCAUCGAAUCUUUGAACGCACAUUGCGCCCAUUAGUAUUCUAGUGGGCAUGCCUGUUCGACCUAGCUUAGUGUUGGGAAUCUACUUCUCUUAGGAGUUGUAGUUCCUGAAAUACAACGGCGGAUUUGUAGUAUCCUCUGAGCGUAAUAAUUUUUUUCUCGCUUUUGUUAGGUGCUAUAACUCCCAGCCGCUAAACCCCCAAUUUUUUGUGGUUGACCUCGGAUCAAGUAAGAAUACCCGC
rnacentral:rRNA from 1 species